rnacentral:lncRNA from 1 species
UCAGCCCUGACCAGCCGGUGUUUCUCUCUGGAAGUAGUGCUCAGCACCUGCACAAAUCCAUUGUGUCCUCUGUCUUCAGAAGUCCUAUCCGGCGUUGCAGCCAAUCUGCAGAUGCAUUUCUAGUUUUCCAUGAUGCCUGAAAGAACCUAAAGACGCUAGUGGGCAGACAUGAACUCGGCCACAUCUGAUGGACACUCCCCAAGAACCAUUUUUCCUACUUGGAAGAGCCAACUGUCUUUGCCUCAAGAACAGGCUUCUGUCAGGAAGUCAUCCUG